ACUAAAUGGCAGUUACUAGGAGCUAAAACAGGCUCCAGCACCUCUAACUAUCCAACAACUAAAAGAAUUUCACCUGAAAAAUAUUCAUUUUUAAUUUACUUUAUCUUUGUAGAAUCUACUUAUCUGUCCACUAAAAAUGUAAAUAAUGUUUUUUUCUUCUCUUUUACAGAAAAUGGAAAUGUGGAUUUUGAUGACUCUGUCAGAAAAUUCCUUAAGCACAAAAAUUCAUUACUAACCAUCAAACUUAAAAGAGCACAGGAAGUUAUAGACACUGCUUCUGAUGGGAAGAUUCAUGCUAAGGAUUUAUCACCUACCCUGGAAAAUUUUGGAAUCAAACUAACAGAUGAUAUGCUUAAGGAUACCGUGAAAUCUGUUGGAAUUGAUGGUGAGUACAACUUUAAGGGUUUUACAAAACAUAUGAAAAUAUAUAUUCUUUCUAGUGGCAAAACUAAAAUUUCAAUCAUUUGCCAAAAAAAGAUAAAAAUAGGUGACAGAAGGAGGUGGCUAUAGGAACCGCCUGCAGUUCCUAUAUAAUGAACUUUUGGGUGGUGACCUGAGAAGGAGAAUGGAGACUGGGAGGAAAAUGGAUGAAUAGAUAAAAGAGAUAGAGGGAGAAACGCUGGAAUAAAGACUCAUAGAUGACAAGUUAAAACA
rnacentral:lncRNA from 1 species